rnacentral:rRNA from 1 species
UACGUAGGGUGCGAGCGUUUAAUCGGAAUUACUGGGCGUAAAGCGUGCGCAGGCGGUUUUGUAAGUCAGAUGUGAAAUCCCCGGGCUUAACCUGGGAACUGCGUUUGAAACUACAAGGCUAGAGUGUGGCAGAGGGGGGUGGAAUUCCACGUGUAGCAGUGAAAUGCGUAGAGAUGUGGAGGAACACCGAUGGCGAAGGCAGCCCCCUGGGUUAACACUGACGCUGAGGAGCGAAAGCCAGGGGAGCAAACGGG